CAGUUUAUGCACAGCUUUCUUGGUGAACAUGAUUAUCAUAUUAAAGUAGAAGAAAUUUCAGCAGUGCAGUUUCUGGAAGAAAGUGGAGUUGUGACUGAUAGCUUUGUUGUAAACAACCACACAUAUAUUGACCAGCAAUCUGAUAUUGUGGAGAAUCGUACAACAGUAAGUG